UUUCAUAUUAAUAUAUAUAUAAAAUUUUAAUAUAAAAAAAAAAAAAAAAAAACUAUAUAAAAAAUAAUACAUAUAAAUAAUAAAUAAUUGUAGUUUGAAAAUUUAUUUUAAAUUUAAUUUACAUAUAAAUUUUAGUGUUAUAUUUACAUUAUUUUAAUAAUAUUUUAAUUUUAAAGUAGUAAUUAAUAUUAAAAAUUUAAGAAAUUAAGAUUUAGUAAUAUUUAAAUUAAUAACAAAUUUUGUGCCAGCAGUUGCGGUUAAACAAAAGUUAAAUUAAAUUUUUUUAGUUAUUAAUUAAUAAUUUUAUAAAAUUAGAUUUUAAUGAGGUGAUAUUUAUAUUAGUUAAAUGAUAAAUUAUUAGGUGAAAUUUUAAUUUAUUAAAAUUUUAUAUAAUUUUUAUGAUUUAAUAAAUUUAUUAAAAAACUAGGAUUAGAUACCCUAUUAUAAAAAUUUAAAUUUAAAUACUAAAGUAGUAAUUAAUUAUUUAUUGAAAUUUAAAUAAAUUGGCGGUAUUUUAGUUUAUUUAGAGGAAUCUGUUUAAUAAUUGAUAAUCCACGAAUAAAUUUACUUAAUUAAAAAUUUUGUAUAUCGUUGUUAAAAAAAUAUUUUAUAAUAAUAAUAAUAUUUAAAUUUUUAAAAUUAAAAUUAAAUCAGAUCAAGAUGCAGAUUAUAAUUAAGAAUAUAAUGGAUUACAGUAAAUUUAUUUAAAUGAAUAUUAAUUUGAAAUAAUUAAUUGAAAUUGGAUUUAAAUGUAAUUUUAUUUAAUUUAAUAAAAUGAUUUAAAAUUAAAUUAUGUACAUAUUGCCCGUCACUUUCAUAUAUUAUGUGAAUAUUUUUUUUAAUUAUUGUAAAUAUUAUAAUAAUAAAAAUUUAUAUAUAAAUAAAUUGAAAUAAGUCGUAACAAAGUAGAGGUACUGGAAAGUGUUUCUAGAAAGA
rnacentral:rRNA from 1 species